rnacentral:misc_RNA from 1 species
AAGUCGUAACAAGGUUUCCGUAGGUGAACCUGCGGAAGGAUCAUUAUUGAAUAAAUCUGACAUGGUUGUAGCUGGCUCUUCGGAGCAUGUGCUCGCCUGUCACCUUUAUCUUUCCACCUGUGCACACACUGUAGUCCUGGAUACCUCUCGCCGCAAGGCGGAUGCAGAGACUGCCGUUCCACCCUCGGGAGGUCGGCUUUCUCUGAAUUUCCAGGUCUAUGAUUAUUACAUACCCCAAUUGAAUGUUUCAGAAUGUUAUCAAAGGGCCUUGUGCCUAUAAACCUAUACAACUUUCAGCAACGGAUCUCUUGGCUCUCGCAUCGAUGAAGAACGCAGCGAAAUGCGAUAAGUAAUGUGAAUUGCAGAAUUCAGUGAAUCAUCGAAUCUUUGAACGCACCUUGCGCUCCUUGGUAUUCCGAGGAGCAUGCCUGUUUGAGUGUCAUUAAUUUCUCAACCUCACCAGCUUUUGUUGUGUGAAGGCUUGGAUGUGGGGGUUGCAGGUCCGCAUUUAUGUGGUCUGCUCCUCUAAAACGUAUUAGUGGGUUAGUCCCCUAAUCUAUUGGUGUGAUAAUUAUCUACGCCGUGGAUUUGGAUGGCUAUUAUAGACCCGCUUCUAACCGUCCUCUGGACAACUUUGACAAUUUUGACCUCAAAUCAGGUAAGACUACCCGCUGAACUUAAGCAUAUCAAUAAGCGGAGGAAAAGAAACUAACAAGGAUUCCCCUAGUAACUGCGAGUGAAGCGGGAAAAGCUCAAAUUUAAAAUCUGGCGGUCUUUGGCCGUCCGAGUUGUAAUCUAGAGAA